CAGCAGCCGCGGUAAUACGGAGGGAGCUAGCGUUGUUCGGAAUUACUGGGCGUAAAGCGCACGUAGGCGGUUAUUCAAGUCAGAGGUGAAAGCCCGGGGCUCAACCCCGGAACUGCCUUUGAAACUAGAUGACUGGAAUCUUGGAGAGGUCAGUGGAAUUCCGAGUGUAGAGGUGAAAUUCGUAGAUAUUCGGAAGAACACCAGUGGCGAAGGCGACUGACUGGACAGGUAUUGACGCUGAGGUGCGAAAGCGUGGGGAGCAAACAGGAUUAGAUACCCCAGUAGUCCCUGUCUCUUAUAC
rnacentral:rRNA from 1 species